rnacentral:rRNA from 2 species
ACUUAAAUUGAAGAGUUUGAUCAUGGCUCAGAUUGAACGCUGGCGGCAGGCCUAACACAUGCAAGUCGAGCGGUAGCACAGAGAGCUUGCUCUCGGGUGACGAGCGGCGGACGGGUGAGUAAUGUCUGGGAAACUGCCUGAUGGAGGGGGAUAACUACUGGAAACGGUAGCUAAUACCGCA